CAGCAUAGUAAAAUGCCUGUUUCCAUUCACCACAUUUAUUGGUUGGUGAAAUUCCAGUUCCAGCACCCACUCCCAGAGCGCCCUAAGUUGGAAUUCUCACUGACUCAACAAAAACUCUUCCUGGGACUCGCAUCCAGUGUGCUUACGGGCACUGUAAUGAGGCAGAGUGGCCUCAUUCCAGCAUAGGGGGGACGAAGAUGCUCCAAAGCCAGUCUGGAGAAACAGCCAGUCGCCGCCCCAGGAGAUGGAAGACCCCAGAGAGGAAGCGCCGAGGGAGCAUUCGGCAUGGAGACGGAGAACCACGCCACAGCAGCCAUGGAACAACCCAACAAGACACCACCCACAGGCAGGACCCCAGGCUACAGACGACUUACUGGCCUAGCCCAGAUCCAGGAGGGACUGAGCUACCACUUUCCCCUGCAGCUUGGCUGCAAACCAGGACAACUGAUCUCUCCACUCAGCACAAGCACCAAUUCUGCACUGCCGAAGAGGUUGCCCCAGAAGAGACUCAAGGAACCUUACAGUCACCAAGACCCAGUUCUGAUCCUUAGAUCCCUACCUUGAAGAGGCUGCAAUCUUGUCUAUGAAGCACCAGGCA